rfam:Antarctobacter heliothermus strain SMS3 chromosome, complete genome.
AUCCCGUCACAACGGCUUCCUGGCGUGGCGGUGUCAUCAUUGGAGCA